CGACCCUCGAGCCUCCCUUCGUGGCGGCUCGGUGCUGGGAUGCUACGGCGCGCUCGCUCGCGCCGUAGGUUCCGAAAUGCAGUGGCGGCCUCGCCGAGAACCCGAACGUAGUAAACCGUGCCUUUGCACAGCGUCUCGUUCAGGGUCUUCGACGGGUGCCCUGGCCAUAAAACCCCCAACUUAUUAAA
rnacentral:misc_RNA from 1 species